AAAAAAAAAAAAAAAUGCUUCUACAAGAAGCAACAUUCUUUUGCUUCCAUGUUAAGCUUGUUUUGAAGUCAAAGGCAGUUCAAUUAAAAUUACCAAAGGUCCCAAACAAAGGAACUCACUUUUGUUGGGCUUGAUAAAGAGCUUUUGGCUUCUAAGAAGCCAACCCAAAUGUGUUAAUGUCUUGUCUUAUAUUUUCAUCUGUUUUUAUUUGUUUAGGUUAUAUUAGCACAUCAAUCAAUGAUGGUCCUGGUUGUUUGAUGUUAAGAUGCCCUGAUCCAUCUUGCCGAGCUGCUGUGGGCCAAGACAUGAUCAAUCUCUUGGCAUCUGAUGAAGACAACGAGAAGUAUUCUCGUUACCUUCUUAGAUCAUAUAUCGAAGACAAUAGGAAGGUAUAUCUGAGACUUGGAACUCUUCCAAUUUUAACAUUUAGCAUAUGCAAUGGCUCAUCAAUCUCAAUCUUUAUUUUUACUUUUUUUCCCCUUAAAGUUUUCUAUGAAAAUUCACUGUUGCUUGACUAUCUAACUGUUUAUUUUUAUUUUAGAGUAUUUUCCAGGCAUAAGCCAGUAGACUUACCCUUUCAAUGUUCAAAUUUCAAAUAGUAAUUUGUUCAGGUUCUGAGCAUGUGAUUGAUUAAGGCUUAUGAGUUGCAUACGUUUUGCACCACCAAAGCAUGCCAUUUUUCUCUUCUACUGAUGGGUGCUUGUAAACUUUUAGAGGACAUCUUUUAUGAGUGAUUUGUAAUUUUGUAUGGACUACUUAGAGUUUAGUAUUAUUAUUUUCUGCCAUAGAGUGGGUCUCUUCAAUUGUCUGCAUUUAUCAAGAUAUUAAACUUGACCUGGGCUUAUACCCCAAUUCUUCUUCUUCAAUUUUUGUGCCCCUUUACUCUCGAGGUUGAUGUUUUUUGCAUCAUUUUAAAUGCAUUUUUCACCUGUUUCUAGCAUUAUAGGGAUGAACAUUUGGAGGGGAGAAAUGAAAAUAUAUUAUUUUGUUCACUGCUUUGCUAUUUCUCAUUUCUUUUAUUAUUUCUGUUCUUCCCUAGACCAAAUGGUGUCCUGCCCCAGGUUGUGAGUAUGCUGUGGAGUUCGUUGCUGGUAGUGGGAGCUAUGAUGUAGCCUGCCAGUGCUCAUACGGAUUUUGUUGGAAUGUAUGUUUGUUUUGAAAUUGAAGUUGUUUGAAAAUUUCGUAUGUACAAUUUCUAAUUUUUGUUGUAUGCCAUAUCCACAAUCUUGUCUUUUUAAUCAUGUUUUGAAUCUCUACUGCAGUGUACAGAGGAAGCUCAUCGUCCAGUGGACUGUAGCACUGUGGCCAAGUGGAUUUUGAAGAACAGCGCUGAAUCUGAAAACAUGAAUUGGUUAAGCACAUGUUGCAGCAUUUAAAGUCAUUCAUGCUUGUGGAUAUUCUUUCAUGACUUCUAUUUGUGGAUAUUCAUUAUUUCUAUUCUGUUAAUGCAUAUAGUCAUCCUGCCAAUUCUCUGUUGAAUUCUAAUUAGAAUAUCCUAUUAGCCAUGGUUUAUAAGUGUUGAUAUUUACAAAGUCAAUUUCUGCUCUAUUUUAUUUUAUUUUUGUGCAUGUUGUGGGGAAGCAGUGGGGAUUUAUUACAUCUAUUGGGUUAUGAUUUUUUAUUGCCUGAUGGGAAGCCCUCCUAUUUGAAUGUUCGAAUUUUUUGUGAGGCAUAUGAGGGCUAGAUGACUUUUUUAUGCUAGUUGUUUAUGCGGUUUGAGGCUAUCUCAGGGUUGAGAGUUAACAUGUAUAAAAGUGAGUUGGUCCCAGUGGGAAGUGUGGAGGAUUUGGCUUUAGAGCUUGGUUGUAAGGUGGCAAGAUUACCUUCCACUUAUUUGGGGAUGUCGUUGGGUACUCCUUCAAGUCUGUGGCAGCUUGGGAUGGAGUUGAGGAGAGAUUUUGUAAGAGAUUGGCUACGUGGAAGCAGACUUUAUAUCACUAAGGGUGGGCAAAUCACCUUGAUACGAAGCACCUUGUCCAACCUAUCUAUUUAUUUUAUGUCUAUUCUCCACUUGUUAAGGGUGGUUAGAUUGAGGUUGGAGCAGAUUUAGAGGGAUUUUCUGUGGAGAGGUGGGGCUCUAGAGCGAAAACCUCAUUUAGUAAGGUGGGGCGAUAGUUUGUCUUGAUAAGAGAAAAAGGGGUUUGGGGGUUAAGAGCCUUUCUACGCUCAACAAGGCUCUCCUUUGCAAAUGGAGGUGGCGCUUUGCGAAUGAGAGAGAGGCCUUUUGGAAUCAAGUAAUAAAGGGAAAGUAUGGGGAGGAACAAGGUGGAUGUUGUUCUCGCAAUGUAAGAGAGAGGUAUGGUGUAGGGUAGUGGAAAGCAAUUAGGAAGGUUAGACCUGUCAUUAGCAGUAGGCUUUCCUUUGUGGUGGGUAAUGGACGGAUGGUGAGUUUUUGGAAGGAUAAGUGGUGUGGGACUACACCUUUGUGUGAUUCUUUCCCCUCUUUAUUUACCUUAACUACUUCUAAAGAGGCUUGGGUGAAAGAUGUUUAGACCAUUUCAAAAGUUGGGGGAGUUGGAGUCCUCGCUUCUCUAGGCCUUUCAAUGAUUGGGAGUUGGAUGAAGUAGAGAGCCUUUUGUUAUGCCUGUGUGGGAAGAGAGUGAAUUUGGAUGAGGAGGAUAGGGUGCGGUGGAUGGAAAUGAAGAAUGACAAUUUUUUGGUAAAGUCUCUUUGCAAAGCCUGAGAGUCGGACUUAUCAGUUUAUUUCCCAAUGAAGAUCAUUUGGAACUCUUUAUGUGCAAUCAAAAGUAAACUUCUUUGCUUGGGAGACAUCAUGGGGUAAAACUUUAACUUUGGACCAAAUUUAGAAGAGGGGAUGGGCUCUAGCAAAUAGAUGUUAUUUUUGUCAGUGAAUGAGGAAUCCAUAGACCGUGUACUCCAUUGUGAAAAGACAAGGGCUUUGUAGAAGAUGUUUUUCACUCUUUUUGGAGUGUCUUAGGUGUUUCCUUCCUCGGUUAGGGAAAUCCUCUUGGGAUGGAAUGAGUCUUUUAUGGGUAAAAAGCACAAGACAAUUUGGAGAGCGGGCCCUUUAUGCAUUUUUUGGACAAUUUGAAAGACAAAGAAUAGAAUCGCCUUUGAAGAUGAUGUGCUGUCCAUCCAAAGGCUGAAAGCUUCUUUUGUUUACUUGCUUUAGUCGUAGACUAAAAUGUUUAUAAAAAAUGAUCCUUUGACGUUAAUUGAUUGGGUGGGUUCCCGUUGAGGGCGGGGUUGUUUUUUGUACAUCCUUUUGGACAGUCUUUAGUUUCAACUGUAAGGGGGUGAGUGUUUUUUUCCUGUACAUCUUGGGCUGCUAUUUUAGCGCCUCUUCGUAAUACAAUACUUUUUUUUACUUAUCAAAAAAUGUUUUGAGUUUUUUCCCUACAUAAUGUUUUACUUUGGUUCCUUGUUUGUGUAGCAGAAUGGAGUUUGGCACUAAUUCCCAUUGCUAGGUUAUGUAUGAAGAAAUCACCUUAGUGAAAAUUUGAAAGGUCUAGAAUUUGGUUAAAUUUUAAUUUUCUUCUUGGUAACAAUGAUUGAAUUGUCUGCUAGGACCAACAGGAGGUUGGGUGGGAUUGUGGGAGGCACCAGGUUCGAGAGGACUACCAUGCAGUAAGAAUUGUGGCUUGCCUUUGGAAAUUAAUGCCUUUGGAAAUGUGAUCCCUAACUUGAUUUAAGGAAACCAAAGAUUUUUUUUUCCUUUAUGCAUGUGAAUAUUAUUCUGGAACAAGUGAUUGUUUGCUAUUAUGAUGCUCUUUUUAAGGUGGUGGCAGGUGGGAGGAGCAUUAUGACACAUUAUUGCCUUUUAAAUCUUACCAACAUGGCAUUUCUGGUUCUUAAUAGGGACGUUCUUUGGGACCUCAAUACUCUAUGGAUCCUGAGCUGGCCUGUUGGAAAAAAUGUGCAUAAUACAUGAAAAAUAAGAUGCAUGCUUACUGGGCCUAAGAGUAUAUGUUAAUGAUUGUCCUUUGUUCUUCUGCAUCACUAUUCUUCUUUCCGUGUUUAUAGUCAACUGAAAAUGCCAUCAGCAGUUCAAAUUGUUAAAUUAUUAUUUUUUUUUCUUAUACCCAUCUUUUUAGAUCAGGUUUUUUCCUUUUUCUUUCUUCUUCUUCUUCUUCUUCUUUUUUUUUUUCCUAAUGCUUUGCAAACUGCUUUGUUUAUUGCACUUCUUUAAUAAAUUAUGAUAAAACAUAUUUAAUCCCACUCUCAAGAUGCAAAUAACCUUUCGUUUCUUUAUCCUGUUUAUAUUCAUUAGUUGUGUUAAUAUAUAGUGAAUUCUUUUAUAGUGUAUAAGAAUGCUUUACAUUUUUUUUUUUCAUGCAAUUCUGAUUGUGUAUACUACAAAUGAUGAUGCCCAGGAUACUAGCUAAUUCGAAGCCUUGUCCGAAGUGUAAGCGUCCAAUUGAAAAAAACCAAGGGUGUAUGCAUAUUACAUGCACACCACCCUGCAAAUUUGAAUUUUGCUGGUAAGUUUUGUUACUUAUAUCUGAACCAGAAAUUACCUGUACCUUCAUAAUUCUUGCUCUUAAUUCCAUGAUGAGUAUCUUUUAUAAGCAUUGUUAUCAAGAAAAUUGUAUUUUUUCAGAAAACCUUGAGCAGAAGAUGAUAUUUGUUGCACUAAGCAAUAAUAGUUCUUCUUUCUUCUUAAUUCUUUAUUGAGGCAUUUCUCUUUAUUUUUGUUAUUACAACUGCAGGCUAUGCCUUGGUGCAUGGUCAGAUCAUGGUGAGAGGACGGGUGGCUUUUACGCAUGUAAUCGAUAUGAAGCAGCAAAGCAAGAGGGAGUGGUAAUGAAACUCAAAAAUAUUUUUGGGCUCUUGAAACAAUAUUUUGCUUACUAUAGAACCUUUUGUGCUAUCAUCUUGGUUCUACGUUUGCUUUUUGUUGAAAAUCAACUUAGAAAAAGCACUUCAUUGCAGACCAGUAUGUGUGUUGGCCAUCUCAAUGGGCAUGCAUCUUCAGCUGAGUAUAGGAUUGUAGACUGGACUUUGUCUUAUCUAGAUUUCCUUGUAGGGGGGAGCCCUGGAGUGAUCCAGUUUUAGAUUAGUAUCUCCAGGUGCUUGGGUGGUUGGAAGGUUUCUUCAUCCCUUGUGGGUAGAGUCACCCUCAUUAAGUCCUGCUUAGCUCAUAUCCUAACUUGCAAUUUCUUUUUUAAUCUUUAAGAUCCAUGUUAAGGGUGCACUAGAAUCAAGCAUGCGAUGUGAUAUUCUUUGGUUGAAUGUGAAAGGAGAAAGAAUGAUCACCUAAUAGCACAGAACAUAUUUUCAAAUCAAGAGUGAAGGGGGGAACUGUGUAUCAUCUCUCUAUUAGCAAUGUAGCUUUUCUAGGUAAGUGAUUAAUGAAGUUCCUUGAGAGAGUGGCUUCUUGUGGCAUUUGUUAUUGAAAAAUCUAUAGCCUUAGUUUUGAGGGAUGAAAAGCUCAACUUGGUGAUCAGGUGGCAACACUCUGAUAGGGAACUAAGCUUUUUUUGAUGGCUGUGCACUGAAAGGAACCAGUGCAGAUAGGGGUUGACAGUGUCUUGAGAGAUCAUUGUGGUACUGUUGUCGGAGCUUUUUCCAAAACGGGUAGUUCAGGGUUAGCCAUUGGCACUGAAAUUUUAGCUUAGAAGGGCCGAUGGUGUGACUAUUUUAGGCACUAAAAAUCUGCUAGUAGAAGGGAAAAUCAGUUACUGUCCUCUUAUGGGUUUCUGAGGACAUGUGAAGUCCUUGAAGGCUGGGCAAUUAGUGUCAAAAGUUGCGAUUUAUUUUUUAUUUUUUUCUGGGGCUCCUAGAUUCUAGAAUGGCCAACUAGGUAGCAGACCAACUAGUGAAGUAUGGAGCCUCAUGUUUAGAGAUCUUUGUUUGGGGGUGUAUACCUCCCUGAGCUGCAUUCUAUUCUAAAGUCUUUGGUUGGGAUCUUUAUGGGUUUCAGCUUAGAUGUAAUUCUUUUGCUUACUACUGCACUCUUUUUUUCUUUUGACUUAAAGAUAGCGCAUUCCUCUUGUAUUCAUUAUCUUUAUCAAUGAAUUUCUGUUUUGUCUCAGAAAAUUAACGAGAUUUUUAACUUCUGCCUGUAGUAUGAUGAAACUGAGAGAAGACGGGAGAUGGCGAAAAAUUCUUUAGAACGAUACACUCAUUAUUAUGAACGGUGGGCGACCAACCAAUCGGUAUGUACUAGCUUUUUAUUGUCUGUUUCUUUGCUAUAAUAUCACAACUUGGGUUCUAGGUUUUUUUCCUGUAUUUUUUGGGAACUAGCUUGGGUUUUGCAAAUUAAUAUUGUUUAGAAUUAUGAUGAUUCCAUUGGAGGUUAAAUCCUCUCUUGGGGAUUCAUAUUGACAUGUACACAUCCAUUAAUUUGAAUGUGGUUAAAUGUUAUAUCUGAAUGUAAUCUGAAAUCUUUGUUUUCCUAUUUGGCAGUCAAGGCAAAAAGCUCUUGCAGAUUUACAUCAAAUGCAAAACGUGAAUGUAAGUUUAAUGGCUUUUCUAUAUUUUCCCUUCUUGUCUUUAUGGUAUAAGUGGCCCGCCCAUCAAAUGUACAUAACAUCUAUUGUGUUCUAUCAGCUUCACAUUUUCCUUGUUUUAUUAAGGAAUUUCUUGAAAGUUGAAACUUCAUGUACACUGAACUAAUUUUUAACCAAGCAUGCCAUAUGUGGGAUUUCUUUUGUAAUUUAUAUUUUAAACUUGGAAGUGAUUGAAAUCUCUUAAGAUUACAAAAAUAAGUCUACUUCAUUGAUGAAUAAUGCCUACCAACUCUCUAUCGAGAUUACAAAAAAUAAAUCUACCUCAUCAGUUUAUAGCAGUCUUUUGACAAAAGAUUUUUUAAACAUUCAGUUGGUAAUUUGAUCACCAUUGUUUAAGCACUGCUGCCUCAGAAAAAGGUUCUUUUCAAAAUGCUAACUGUACUGCUGUAAUCUUGAAAUUUUCUGAGAAGAAAGCAAUUGGGAAUCUGGGUGAUAAUGUUGUUUGAGGACACCCUUCUCUGGUUAACGUUAAUUAUGGACAUGUUCCAAUGGAUACAAACUGUCUAGAGAUUCACUCUUGAUAACUCUGCACACAAGCGCAUGCACACACACAAAUAUGUGUAUGUAUAUACGUGAUAGGUUAUAAUUCAGAUAUAUUGUUUUACAGCAAAACUGUCCAUGUACAGUAAAUUUUUGGUUUUGGAAGAUUUUAUGUGCCAUAAACAUGGGUUUUAUUCCUCUGGCCACCUCGGGAUUUUUUCAGUAAUAUUUUUAUUUGCAUAAUUUCUUUAAUUUGUUUGAUUUUGCAGAUUGAGAAGCUCAGUGACAAACAGUGCCAACCUGAAUCACAGCUCAAGUUCAUAACAGAGGCCUGGCUACAGGUGAAUAUAAAGUUCCUUCGUAUGCAUAUUUAGCAUUUUGUUAAUUAGCAUUAUUGGUCUCUCUUCUGUAAAAAGAAAAGAUGAAUAAACCUUUAUACAUCAAAGCCUUUGAAACUGAAAUUGGCAUGUAUUAUUGAUUAUAGCUUAUGAUACUAUUGUCCAUAUGCAGAUUUUUUUAUUUUCUGGCAAUCUUUAAAGGGGAAAAAAGGAAAUCAAAAUUUGAAAUCUCUCUCUUAAAAAUAUUAAUACAUUGAAUAUAAGGUGAUUUAAGAUUAAGGUAAAGCAUUUAAAAAAUACUCUUUACCCUUGUUUACAGUCCUUGUAAAGGAGCUUCUUUUGUUGAUGCUAUGACUAAUGCCAUUUUGUUCAAUCAAAGGACCUUUCCUAUGAAUCACCAAAUCUCAUUAUGUUAUCUUCUCCUCCCCUUUCCCUUUUUCCAUUUUUUGGGUGCCUGUUGAACAUCCAAGGGGAACUGAUAUAUUGUUCUAUCCAUAAUUCAAACAAGUAUGUUUUUGCUUUUUCAUUUUUUUCUUUUUCCAUCCAUAAUUCAUCAUUCAUAUAGGUAUCUGCAAUUAUUGGUUUGUUUAUGGGUGCAUUGGUUGGGGAUUAGGUGGACCUUUCAGAUUAUUGGUAGUCAGAAGUAAUUGAGACUUAGUAGUAAACCGAAGUAACUGAAACUUAGUAGUGGUGGAGCUAAAAGUUCAAUAAUUUUUUUUUAAUCAAUUUUAUUACAAUUAAUUGCCAUACUUGUUAGAUAUAUUUGAUCUAACCUCUUAAUAUUUGCUGUUUGGAUUGUGCUUGGGGGUAGGGGAAUGGGCUAUUUCCAAUUUUUGGAUCCAUUUUAGACUAAAAGAGAAUAGUAAUGUAAUGAUGAUGAUUGUAUUUGAAUUUGUUGUUUGAGCAUGAAAUGCUAACAUUAUCACACUUUGUGAUCCUUUGUAUUUUUAGAUAGUUGAAUGCAGACGGGUGCUGAAAUGGACAUAUGCAUAUGGUUACUACUUACCCGAGCAUGAGCUUCCCAGGAGACAAUUUUUUGAGUACUUGCAAGGUAUGUAAUGCCCUUCAACCGCCCUACAAGGGAUAAAAUCAAGAAUUGCCUUUGUGAUUGAUUUGGAUUAAUCUAAGAGUGAUGCUUAUUUCUUAUGCAGGUGAGGCGGAGUCGGGUUUGGAAAGGCUUCAUCAAUGUGCAGAGAAGGAAUUACAAACAUACCUCAAUGUUGAUGGUCCAUCAGCAGAUUUCAAUGACUUCCGCACAAAGCUAGCUGGACUGACAAGGUAAUUCCUGCCUAGAAUUCUUAUGGAACUUAUGGAUAUCCGUGUUUUAUAUUUUCUGAUGCAAGGCAUGCUCCCUUUUUAACCACCUAGGGGAAAGUUGUAUUUUUCAUUGAAACUACUCUGUUAAAACCGUAUACCUCCUGUUCCCUGGAUAUAUUUUUUCUGGAGCAGGACAUUCUUCCAUAUCUCAGACUAAUCAGGUUAUGAUAAUCUUUUUGGAUUCAUUUGUAUUCCACUUUGUUAUAUGAUUUUCUUGCCCAUUUUCUGUUGUAACAGUGUAACACGGAAUUACUUCGAGAACCUGGUCAGAGCAUUGGAGAAUGGGCUGUCAGAUGUAGACUCUUAUGGGGCUUGUAGCAGGACGACAAGUUCAAAGAGCAUGGGAGGCACCAGUAAGGCUAGAGGUGGAAGGGGAAAGGGAACUACAUCCCGAUCCAGUAGCUCCAACAAAACCCCAGACGAUUCAAGUCGAUGGUAUUGUGAACACUGUGCUACUGCUAAUGCCAAGUCUGCCUACACAUGCCAGAUGUGCCACCAGCGACGGGCCUAAUCCUCCUUGCACCUGCUUAGAGUACCCUUUCAAAGCGCGCUCAAGAAAAAUGAAGGGGAUUUUCACUAGACAUUAAGGACAUAAACAAAUUCGGUGGUUCAUCCUCGUUCUGAGGCGGACAAACAGUGAAAGUGAAGUAGGAAUGGAAGAAAAGAAGUCGAGGAAACGGAGUGAGUUUACCGUCUUUUGUGUGUUCAACAGUGGCAUUUGAACAUGAUUUUCAUGUACAUAGUUUCUAUAUAUCUAUCUAUUUAUCCUUCUGUGAAUCUACUUGUUGAGGUUCUAAAACUUGCUUCUGCUCCAUCAUGUUGUAUUACGGACAUAGCCAGAGGCAAAAAGUGCAAAUAUACUCAUUUGUGUCUUUUUGAUUUCUCUUUUAAAAAAUUGAUUUUGUGCUGCUUCCCUCAAUGCUGUGUAAAGAACCAUCCCCACCCUCUUCUCGAACCCCUACCAUCAAAAUCAUAUCUAUAGAAAAUAGCAAUAUGCAUUUCUUUUCAGAGCUUUACACUGUUACAAUACUUUUUAUUGAAGCUAUAAAUAUAACAUGCUGAAGCUCUUCUUGCUUUGUUGAUGCUGGUUACAGUAAAUGCUAAUCUAUGCGAGGAAUCUGCCCAUGGCAUUGUGGCCGUGAGAGCUUCCUUCUAUUUCCUAUUUCUUGCAGUUCCGUUGUGUUAUACCUAGUUGUGGUUGCCCUUUCUUGAGCAGCUACAUCUGCAAAAGGCAUAAGCUGCUAUCAGUAAAGCUCCCUUUUGUUUGUUCAACAUGUCAUGUGCUUGGAAUGGUUGGGUAGGUGUAAUAUGUGGUUGUAUGACAUGUCUCCGGCUCAAAAGAGUGUGCAGAGAGCAUUGAGGUGUGCUGAAAGCACUUGUCAUUCUUGUAUGAUGUAGGCUCUGUUAAAGCAUUUUUUUUCUUCAGCUCAAAGUUGAAAAAUGUCUUUCCUUGUAGAAGCUCUAGUUGAGGUAUACAAGGUGGCUGUUUUUAUGCUUAAUCAUUUUUGUCAAUGCCAAUCUUACUCUUAGGAAUUAUGACUUUAAUCAUAUUCCACCGAGUAGGAAAUAUAUAUAUAUGCUACGAAUAUGAUAUUUUAAGAUAACAUAUCUGAAUAUGUUAUAUUAUAUUAUAUUUAUAUUUAAUUUACAAAAUGAAUAAAAAAAUAAUAUAAAAUAUAUAUUAUUUUCAAUAGUUAAAAUAAAAAUGAUAUUAUAUUUAAAAAAUUAAAAUUUCUUUUAUAUUUAACAAUAUCAUGAUUAAAAUUUUUAAACUUUAUAAAUGAUUUUUUAUAUUAUUUUAUUCAAUAUAUAAAAAUGAUUUAUAUAUCAUAUAGAUAUAUUAUUUAAUAAAUAUUUUUUUAGUUUUUUUUAAACUGUAAAUUUAAUUUAUAAUAAAAAAAUUUAUUUUCCAAAAUGAGUAUAUAAAAAAAAUUGAUAAAAAAAAUUAAAUUUAUGAUAAAUGGGAUAUGCAUAUGAAUCUCAUUCCCCAUGUAAAAAAGAUUAAAAAAAAAAACUAGAUAAUAUAUCUCAUCCCUUGUUGUAUCCCUUAUUUGGUUGUCUUCAACCAAACAUGAGAUAACCUUUCUCUUAUCUUAUCUCAAAUAUGAUCAAAAUUUAUUACAAAAUAUGAAAGAGAAUCCUUUCAUUGCCAAAUUUCCCACAAAGAAAACACUUGAUGAAAGCCCUAUAGCCUAUAUCCAUCAUUUGAAUCAUGCAUAUUGACAUUCAAAAUGGAGAACAAUGGACAAAGUCUAGGACAUAGUAUAUAAUAUAUAGCUGCAAUUUAAGAUGCAAAAAAUAAAACAUCUUCAUUCAUCAACCAAAUGAUAUGAUUAUGGGUGAUGAUUCCACCAACAUUGAACUCAAAUCCAUACAUGAGUUUCACUCUAAAAUUAAAAAACUCAGACCUUAAAGAUGAACUCCUCCCAUCAUGAAUUUCAACUUUCCAAACUCCUCUCUAGUGUGUGUGUGUAACAGGAAGCCAAAACUGUAGACAACUCAAACGCUUAUAGACAUAUUAUUUUUCUUUUGUACACAAUAGAUGCUUUUAUCUUCCAUACUUGUUUCUCAAGAGUGUAAAUAGGAUUACUUAACUCUUGCUUCCAGAUUACCUCUAAACAAACACUUGAUUUUGCAGUCGCAUAGAUCUGUUUUUCAGCAGCAUAGAUCUGUUUUCCAGCUGCAUAGAUUUGUUUUGCAGUGGCAUAGAUUUGUCUUUGAAGAUUCUCAUGCUAAGGGCAUUUAGCAUUGCUCUUGAGUACUGGCGCGACGACAUCUUCCAGUCCAUGCCCGUCUUCAUCAUCGCCUUGAACUCAUCAUAACUGAUCCGACCAUCCUAUAAAUUCCAAAAAUAAAAAAUAAAAAUGAGUGAUGCUUUGAUGCUGCAGGAAUGUUGCCAAUGGAGCUAGAAUUAAUCAUGUGUUAAUUUCUGAGGACUAGUUUCUAGUUACCUUGUCCAAAUCAACGUCGAAAAUGAUGUCUUGGAUCACCUGCUCAUUGUUGGGGCCAAGGUUAUCCUCUCUUAAGGCCUCUCUGAGCUCUUCAAACUCAAUGUACCCACUGUCGUUCUUGUCGAAAGCCCUAAAAGCUUCGCUCAGAUUUUCAUCGCUGCUGAUCUUUCUCAGGUGCACAGAAAUUGUUACAAACUCAUCACAGUUCAGUGUCCCGGUUCCAUCCAUAUCAGCCUUUUUGGACAGCAGCAGAGAGUUAGAUAACUAUGACAGUAAAGCUUAAUAGGAAGAAACAAGAUGGCUACAAUAUAUAACAAUCUGAAAAACUAGCGAAACCCCCCCAAAAAAAAAAAAACAACUCACAGCUUCAAUCAACAUCUUCACAUCAGGGUCGGCAACUGGAUGUCCAAUCUUGUGGAGUCCGUCUUUGAGCUCUUCAAAGCUCAAGUUUCCAUUUUUGUCAGUGUCCAUCAUGUGGAAUAUCUGUCUGAUUCCAUCUCGCUGCUCAUUUGGUAGGUUGUCUGCUACCACCUACAACAAAUGAAUGUAAAUCACUCAAUGAUUCUUGGGCUAGUUGGCUUCAGCAUUCAAGAUACAAUCAAGACAUGAGGAAACUUACUCUGAGAACCCUCUUCUUGAACUUGUUCAUCAAUGAGAAUUGCUUGAUCCUCGUCCUCACAUUUUCUCCAAGGGACACAUUAGGGAUGCUGGUGGCAUUUUUGAUCCAUGGAUGGGCUUCAUACAGCAAGAAAGAGAACAGUUGGUUGAUUUUUCGCUUUGGCAUGUUCAUAUGCUUGAUGAAAAUAUUGAUUAUAAUUCAAGAAUGCAAAGAAAACAGACCAAGGACUUCUUCAACAGUCAAGCGGUUAUAAGGGUUGGGAUCAAGCAUACUCCUCACUAGGUCCUUGGCAUCCUCAGAAACAUGAGGCCAAGGAUCCCUCUCAAAGUCUACAACAGACUUCACAAUUGCCUGUGCAAUCCCUUCUUCGGUUUCUGUACAACUCAAGGAAAAGAAUGCUUGUAUUAUAAACCAUUCCCACAAAUUUUCACGUUAAAUUGAAGACCUUUACCUGCCCAGAAGGGAGGAACUCCACAGAGUAGGAUAUAAAGAAUAACGCCUGCGCUCCAAACAUCGACUUCUGGUCCAUAGUGUCGUCUCAGGACUUCUGGGGCCAUGUAGUAGGGGCUUCCAACAAUUUCAUUGAACCGCUGGCCUAUCCUCAAAUCACAAAGUAGCAGAGUUCAGUUACAUGGAUGAAUAUAUACCCUACAUAUGAAAGGAAGAAAUUGGAAAUUAUGAAGCAUACCCGGCUUAAAGAAUAUGGAUAGCCCAAAAUCAAUUGCCUUCAAUGGUGAAGCUUCACUUGCAUCUGCAAACAAGAAAUUCUCGGGCUUUAGGUCUCGAUGCAUCACUCCAUGUUGAUGGCAUAUCUGCAAAAAUUUCCCCACAAAAAUCAACACUCUGAUACAAUUAAUUCAUCUGAAAGAAGAAAUAAACAAAUUUUCUGUCCUCGCUUACCUGAAGGAUCUCGACAAUACUUCUGGUGACAUCUGCGGCGGCCCGCUCUGUGUAGUGGCCGCGGGCGACAAUCCUAUCGAAGAGCUCGCCUCCCUCGCAGAGUUCCAUGACCAAAUGUACAUUAUCCUUGUCCUCAUACGCCUCCUUCAACCUUACGAUAUUCGGGUGCUUGGGCAAAUGCUUCAUAAUCUCCACCUCCCUCCUCACAUCCUGAAUAUCGAUCUCGGUCGUCAGCUUGCUCUUCGAAAUCGUCUUGCAGGCGAAGAUUUCCCCGGUCUCCAGGUCGAAACACUGGUGGGUUACCCCAAACUCCCCCCGCCCCAGCUCCUUCCCCAGCCUGUACGUCUUGUAAAUGUCCUUGCCGCUCGGCUCCUUCAACACCGAUAUCGGCCGGAUCGUCACCGAUUUCCGAAACACGUCGUCGCCGGAUUCAGGGAUGAUCUUUUUGGCCUUGGCUUUCUUCUUCUGGCCUGCCUUAGCAGGCAUGGAAAUGCAGCCUCCCAUGGGAUUAUUAGCUCAAAGUUAGAAUCCCAUGGGAAGGGAGAGGAUAGAUUUUUAGGGGGAGAGAGGAGGUGGAUGAAGAAAUAACAGAAAGGAAGUUUCAGGUUUUUGAAAAGUAGUUAAUCCGUUAUAUGUAAGGGUCCCGCCUUUUUCUAAGGGCCUUGGACGCCGUUCAUUUUUGACGGUUCGGGUUUGUCCAGGUGGCUUCGGACUUUGGCUUUUUGGGGCUGCCGUUAACCUUUCUGUCACACUUUCGUUGGAAAAUUGUUUGGUUCAACGGAAAAUAGUUUAGGAUGGAAAACCUAGUUACAAAUAAAAGUGAUGUUCAGUGUUUGAGUAUUAAUUAAAUAUCUUGAUAAAUAAUAUAAUAUAAAUUUAAUUAUUUAUGCUAUAAAUGUAUAACAUAAAAUAUAAUUAUUUAAUUAAAAUUAUUAUAUACUCGAUUUUGAUUUGGAUUAUAUAAUUUGAAUUUUUCUUGAAAAAAUAUAAAUGCAGUACAACCCACUUAUUUUAUUUUAUUUAAAAUAAAUAUAUUUUAUAAAUAAAUAAAUAUUAUAAAAUUUUAGACUUAUUUUAUCUGAGAAUGAGAUUGUUUUAGAGUUACCAAAUGAGGCAUUCCUUCAUCUAAAUUUAGUUCAAAUGGGUUUGCUGAAAUUUUUUAUAAAAAAGAAGUGAAUGUUCACAUGGGCUUUAUUUAAUUGGAAAGAGUUGAAGCAAGUUGUUAAGUUGUUAAUUAGUUUGGCAAUUAUCAAUUUUCAUUAGAGGUAACAUCCUUUAGUUAUAGUUGGUUCUCUAUGCUUCUAGAAUCUUCCGGUUGUUUCUCCACUCAAAUAUAAUAACUUAAGAAGAUCGAAAGUCUAGAACAAUUGUUGGAAACUCAUACAAAGAGAUACUAUGAAAUUGUUCCUCUAUUCAUUAUUAUUAUUAUUAUUAUUAUUUUUAAUAUGGUAUCAAAGCCAUUUGACUUGGCUCUAUGGCUUAAGUUGCAACAAUGACAACUAGUGUCUCCUCAUCGAGCACCUCCAAAACAAGCCGAGGACCUCCAAUGGCAACUCCCUCAUUGACAUUCUCAUCCAUACUUUCUCCACUAUCUUUGAAACUCACAAGGAACAACUAUGGAUUUUGGCACUUACAAAUUCUUCUUAUUGUGCAAGCUCUUGAUCUUGAAGGUUAUUUGCUUAGAACAAUAGUGUGUCCCCCUUGUUUCAUCCUGAACAGAAAUGAAAACUCUUUAAUAAUCAAUCUAUAAUUUGUGACCUAGGCCAUAAUAGACCAAUUCAUCUUGAGUGGGCUUUUUUUUUUUCUUCUUUCUAAGCUAAUGUUUGGUCGUAUUGUUCAAUGUAAAAUUGUUGUUGAAGUGUGACAUAUUUUUUUAUCAUUUGUUCUUCAUCAACUCCAAAUCUCGAGUACAACAUCUUCAAUAUACGUUUUUGUAAGAAGCUUUAAAGGGUUCUUUGAGUAUUACUAACUAUUUUCUACAAAUGUAGAUUGUUGAUAAUUUGUCUGCAAUUGGUAAGCCUAUCACUAAUGAGCAAUUGUUGAUGUGCAUCUUUGGUGGUUUAGUCAUGAAUUUGAUGAUGUAACGAUCCAUCUUCAAUCAAGAAAAGAUUUUGUCUCUAUUGAAGAAGCUCAAUUUCUUUUUCAAAAUUAUGAGAUGAGAAUUAAAAAACUCUUAACUCUAUUUCAAGAAUCAAUAAUCGACCCUUUGCUAACUUUGUUGCCAAGGCCACAAAAGAAAUAAGUACCAUUUCUCUAGAGCUCCUAACGGUAGUUCUUUUGUAGUGGUCAUAUUUAUAAUGACAAAAAUUUUAUGUAGCAUCUCUAAAUUCACCAAGGAUAACAAUAUAGUUGUCGAAUUAUAUGAUGAUUGUUGUCUUGUGAAGGACAAGAACAGGAGGAGGAUUUUGAUGUAGGGCAAGCUUGAAGGAGGGCUUUAUCAACUCGAUGUUCUAGUUUUCUCUACUUCUAGCUUCAAUUUUCCUUUAGUUUCUUUAGCACAUGUUAAAUCUAAUGAGUCUUGUACGAAGGUUAUGGACGCUUGGUCAUCCUUAUGACCAAGUGUUGAAUGAUGUACUCACGAUUUUACAUUUGUCUCUUAUAGCUAAGAAUCUUCAAUUCUGUGAAGCUAGUCAGUCGGAAAAACAGGCUAGAUGGUUUUAGAGCUAAGGACUUUGCUUCUAGAAUCUUCUAAUUGUAUUCAAGAAGAUCAAAAGCCCUAAUAAAUUGCUGGAAACUCCUAUGAAGAAACACUUUGAAAUUGUUUCUCUUAUUAAUUUUGUAUGCUUUAGAUCAAUGUCACAUGAAACUAUGGGGGCACACCCAUCUAAAAAAAGGCCCCUCUUUCCUCAGACCCCUUCUUGUAUUUCUUUUUCUUAAUCACCAAAAGGCCUUAUUCCCUACAAAUUUUCUUGCAAACCAAACAUCAGGGGGAAACUUCAACCUUUCUUUUCCUUACUUUCCCCCACCCUCCCUCAACAGAACACUUUAGUUUAAUUACAAAGCUCCGACAGUACUUCAAAGAUUGGAAAAAAUACACAAGGGAGAAACAGAAAAACUAAUCAAAAUUCCAUAGAUUUACCAAAUUCUCACUGGAUCUAGAAGAAAAAACAUACAAAGAUCGUCUCAUCUACAUACAAAACCUCUCACUUAUCCUUAAUUCAGACAUGAAACAUCCCUAGAACCCUUAUCCACAGCUGCUGCAGUCAACCUCUCAGCGACAAAGUGUGGGAAGCAACAAUCCACUCGGGUCAACCAGGAAACCCCAAUAUUCCUCCAUGAAGACUCCAACACCAGCAAAACAACAUACAGAAACACCACCACAGAGAUUGCAGUGGAGAGACAAAGCUGAUCUUCUGUCAAACUCAACAACAUCUUCACACAUAGAAAUGUUUGGGGUUGGGUUGUGAGGAGUGGAGACAGAGAUAAAAGGAAGCUAUAUGCAGAUGGGAAAGGAGUUGUUUCAACGAAUUUGGUAUGGUGGAUGAAUCAAAGGUGUUCAAUCAGUGAGUGUCAGAGGGGGGCGCAUGAAGACUUCUGAGUGAAGUCAUGAUGAGGGUGUGGGCACCAUUCAUUGAAUAUGAGUGCAUGUUGCUGUGGGUUAUCACCCUUUAUCAUAUUCUUUUGAUGGAAUCUCGCUCUAAGUUCAUGCAUCACUGUUAUGUUCCCUACAAUACAUGCACCUUCUUAGGGAGGUCAAAUUUUAGAAACAUUUGUCAUUAUCUUCUAGAAUGCAAUUUUACCUUAGAAUUUAAAUAUAAUUUUCUUUUAUUCAUUUUUUCAAUGAAAUUAUUAUAUAUUUAUAUGUAAUGUAAAUUUUUUUAAGGUAUUCUUUAUAUUUUCAAUUAUUAUUUAAAAUACUAUAUAAAAAAUAACUUAAAAUACCUAAAAAUUAUAUAUUUUAAAAAGCAGUUUGCUUUCAGAACAAUUUUUUUAAAGAAAAAUAUUUUUAUUAAAUAUAUUUACUAAGUUAUAAAACUAUUUUCAUAGUUUUGUACUCAUAUCCUUGUGAUUCAAAAUAAGGGAGAUGUUUAACGAAAUUUCAAAUCAAUAAGAAUUAAACGUAUUUAGUUAAAAUCUGAUAAAAAAUGGAAGAAAUUAGUCAUGUCUUUUGAAAUUUUUUAAUAAACUCAUCUUUCUAGAUAGUCAAAGUUUGAAAUAAGAAUAAACAAAACAUUUAAGUUAUAAAGAUUGAGAUUAAAUGCAUGAACAAAGGUUACAAUGACCAAGAGCUUUCAUUUAUUAUUUUUUUUCAAGGUGACACCUCUUAUACCAUGAAUGAUUUUAGAACUUUAGAAUUCUAUACAAAUAAGCUAGUCAUAAAUAAACAAAAACUAAAAUAAAAUAAAUGGAAUGAAAAUGCAAGAUUUAACAUGAUUUAAUUACAUGCUUACAUUGAGAAAAUCAAUUCACAAAGAACAAUUACAAUCCUAAAAAGCUCUCAAAUCCCAAGUCCCAAAUGAUAUAUUUUAUGAUAUAGAGAGAUAUUUGACUUUUAAUAUUUUAUUCCAUAAAUCGUUUAUAUAUUUUUAUUGAACUCGUCUUUUCCAAAAAAACAAGUUUACUUUUUAUGAAUUUAUUUUUUAUCUUAUAAAUUUUUAUACUGAAUAUCUUCUAAAAAGAUGAGUUAAGAAUGGUUUUACUUGAGACCAAGGAUCUAUUUGACAAUUGUUUUCUAUUCUAAAAAUAAAAUAUAUUUGACAACCAAAAAUUGUUCCUAUUUUUAAUUCUUAAAAACAGAAAAUGAAGUGUUUUCAAUUUUUAAGAACAAAAAGCAGAAUGUUUUCAAAUAACAUCUUUUAGUUAUUAUUUAUUUAUUUUUUUAUAACUAUUUAAAAAAAUAAUUAUACAAGCAUAUAAAAUGAUUAAAAAUAAAACAGUAGAUAUAAAAAUUAUUUUGAAAAUAUUUUAAGUUUCUAAACAGAAUUUUGUUUUAUAAAACAUUUUUUAAAAACCAUUUUUAAAAAAACAAUAACCAAAUAAUUUAAAAUUAAAAAUAUGGUUGAUGAAAGAUUCUUUAAAAAAUUACACUACCUUGAAAAAGGCCCAUUAAUGACUUUUAGUUAUUCAUUGAAUCCAUGCACAUGUUGGCUGUCAUCACUCUCAAUGAUUUUUUUUUUCAAUUAUAAAUUUUAACCUAAAUCCUCAACUAUUCAUGGCUGUUCCAUCACUACAAGUUCUACCACCAAAUUUUCACUGUCUUGUAAGUUGUAACUAGUCUAUCAUAAUGCUUGUCUUAACAUAUAGAUGAUGAUAUCAUGAAACUUUGGUAUUGUUUGGUCCACGAGAAAAUUAACAAAUUCUUGAUUCAAUUACAUCAAUCCAAUCAAAUCAUUAUUGUUACAUCCAAACUAAUAAUAUAUUUUAUGAGUAGUAUGAAAAAAAAAAAAAUGUUGGUUUUAGUUUUGUAAGUGAAUAUUUGUAUUUUUCAAUUAUUUUUAGGUGUUGGUGAAAUUCAUUUUAUAUAAUAUUUUUUUUACAUUAAAUUAAGAAGGUGAAAUUUUUUCCCUUUUUCUUUUAAAAAAUUAAAAUAAACAUUAAUAGUAAUUUUUAUAUAAAUAUAAGGAACUUUUAAUAACUAAAGCCUGCGUGAUAACUUUAUUUUUUUAAAUAGUUUUGAAAAAUAUUUUUAAGAACGAUUAUUAAAAAUUAUUUUAUGAUAUUUUGUAUAACAAAAGAUUGUUUGAGAGUUUGAAAUAUUUUUAAUCUAUUUUUAAAUAUAUUUUAAAAAUAACUUUUAUAUCUAAUGAUUUAUUUUUAUUCAUUUUAUAUGUUUGUAUAAUUAUCUUUUAAAAUAAAUUUUUAAAAAGAAAUAAAAAAAACUAAAAACAACUAAAAAUAUUUUUUAAGAACAAAAAUAAAAAACAGUUUUAUGGUUGCCAAAAGCGUUUUCUUCUUUGUUUGUUCUAAAUAACAUAAAAUUAUUCUUGAAAAUAAUUAUCAAAUAGACCCAAAUAUUCUUAAAAAUUGAUAUCAAAAUUUAAAAAAAUGAGUAGUUAUAUUUUUUUCAAAUUAUUUUCUUUAAAAAAAGUCUCUUCCAUUUGCAUAAAGAUUAUUAUUACUUAUUUACUUUGAAAAUAGAUACAAACUCCAUCAAAACUUUUUGAUCAAAUAUUAAAGUUUGUUUGGUAAUUAUUUUUUAAAACAGUUAUGAAAAAACAACUUUUAAGAAUAGUUUUUAAAAAUUGUUCUUUAACAUUUUGUAAAAUAAAAGUCUAUUUGGAAACCUAAAAUAUUUUUAACAUGUUUUUAAUAUUUUUAAAUAUGUUUUAAAAAUAAUUUUUAUGUUUAUUAUUUUAUUUUUAAUCAUUCAACACACUUAUAUAAUUAUUAUUUUUAAAACAAUCUUAAAAAAAAACAAAUGAAAAUAAUAAAAUAAAAAAAACAACGAAAAGAUGUUUUUUGAAAGCACCAUAUUUUUUGUUCUUAAAAACAAAAAACAAAAAAUAAUUCUUAAAAUUGUUCUAUUUUUUUUUUAUAUUUUAGAUAAUAGAAAAUUGUUUUCAAGAACUAUUACCCAACUGGUCGUUAUAUAUUGGAAAACGGGUACAUGGAAUGAAUUAUCGUUUUUAAGGUAAAAUGAUCAUCUUCUAUUUUUAUAAGAAUGAUUUUGGUCUGAGUGAGAUAGAAGUGAUAAUACUUGAAAUUAAUUAUUUUCUAUAAAUUUGAUGCUUCCAAAAUUUCAUAAAAGUCGUGCUUCUAAAAAUUUAAUUCUUUUAUACCAUUUCAUCUAAAAAAAAUAUAUAUACUUUUAUAUUCAAAUAUUGAAGAAAUAAAACACUCUUAUAAAAGUUCUACACAAAAAUUGUUACAGGUCAAAAAUAUUUUUAAUAAAAUUACCUUUAAACAACCUAUAGAUUGCAAAAUUUGUCUAAAUUUUAUUUUUAAAUUAAUUUUGAGCCUAAUUUUGUCAAUAAAUUUUAAAUUCUAAUUACAUAUGUUUUUUUUAGCCCAACGACCCUUUAAUCUUAAUUUUUAUUGUUUUGUAUUCUUUUUUUAUUUUAUUAUUAUUAUUAUUAUUAUUAUUAUGUUUUAUUUUAUUUUAUUUUUACUUUUUUUUCUUUUUCUCUCCUCUCUCUUCCUCCCAUAUUAUUAUGUUUUUUUUAUUUUAUUUUUUCCCCUCUUUAUUCUUCUACUAUUUCCUCUCCCCCAUUCCCCUCUUCCUUUUUUCUUUUUCUACUUCUCCUUGGACUCACGAUCGGCUCCCUUAUUUGGGUUUCUCAUUCUCUUCUUCUACUAUUUCCUCCCACCCAUUCCCCUCUUUCUUUUUUCUUUUUCUGCUUCUCCCUGGACUCACGAUCGGCUCCCUCAUUUGGGUUUCCCCAUUCUCUUCUUCUACUAUUUCCUCCCCCCCCCCCAUUUCCAAGAAUGGUCGGCCCCCCAUUCCCCUCUUCUUUUUUUCUUUUUCUGCUUCUCCCUGGACUCACGAUCGGCUCCCUCAUUUGGGUUUCCCCAUUCUCUUCUUCCUCUUCUCUCCCCCAACUCUCAUGUGGCCGACUCCUCCAUUUUCCCCAUUCUUCUUCAUUUUUUUUUCCCAACACCACUCCUCACACUCUACUCAUAGUCGGCUCCCUCAUUUGGGCUUCCCCAUUCUCUUCUUCCUCUUCUCUCUCCCAACACCCAUUUCCGGCCACACGUGCCCCCCUCUCAAUUUUUCCCCUAUUUUUUUCUUUUUAUUUUAUUUUUCUUCCUCUUCUACCCAUUUUUCUUCCAAUCUUUUUCCCUCCAUUUUUCUUUCCUUUCUCUUCCUCCACCAUACCCCACUUCCAAAGACACACCACAUGACCCUUUUCUUUUCCCCCUUUUCUCCCAUCCUCUCCUCAUUUCUCCAUUUUUUUUCUACUCUUCAUUUUUUUUUCUUUUUUUAUUUUUUAUUUUAUUCCCAAAAAAGCCAUCAACUAUCUCCGACAUGAUCACCGACCAACCGUCGUCGGCAAACCCCUACUGGCCAACGACCUCCUCUCCUUUUAUCUCAUUCUCUCAUUUUCCCAUCACACCCAAUUCUCAUUAUUAUUAUUAUUAUUAUUAUUAUUAUUAUUAUUAUUAUUAUUAUUAUUAUUACUACUACUACUACUAUUACUAAUUUUUUUUCUUUAUAUUUCUUGAUUUGAUUUUAAUAGUAAUUACGGUUAAAAUUGAGCUUGUGCAUUUAUGUUUAUUUGUGGGCCUUAUGUUUGGGCUUUGUUAAUUAGUAUGAAAUUUAGGUUAAUUUGUUAUUGGUAAAUUAAUAUGAAAUUGGGGAUAAUUUAUUGUUGGUGAAUUAAUUUAGAAUUGACUAAUUUAGAUUAGAUUAAUUGAUAAUUAUAUGGUUGUGCUCAUUUUAAUUAUUUAAUUUGGAUUGAUAUAAUAUUGUGGUAUAUUUUGGAUGUGAGUUUGCAUAUUAAAUUAGGUUGAUUUUGGUUGUGGAUUUAAAUUUUACAUAUUAAAUUGGGCAUCGAUUAUGAGAUAUUAAAUUUAGACUUAAUUGAAUUUAUUUUGAUUUAUUGUAUCUGGGUUUGACUAAUUGUGCUUGUAUUUUGAUAAUUAAUUGAGAAAUUUUGCACUAUGAUUAUUGAUAUGUAAGAUAUUUUUGUAGGGUUAUACUUACUGAUUUGGGUCUAUUUUUAAUUGGUAAAAUUUGUUAAACUAAUUUGAAAUUCGAAUUUGGGUUUGAAUAUUUGUUUAUGAUUUUGUACAUUUCUAGAUAUUUACAUUUGAGCUAUUUUUGUUUUUGCAUGGACCUAUUCUGUAGUUUUGUUGGCUGAAAUUGAUGACACGUGGAACAUGAAAUUUUAUGGAAGAAAGUGAGAUUGAAAAAGCUGUCAAAAGACAUUGAGCUUGUUGUAAGUUUAUUUUGGUACAUAUUUUAUUUCUCACUUUUAUUUGGUUUUAUUUUUAUUAAUUCUUGUAAAUAUUCGUUCGUAUAUAUUUAUUGAGUGUGUACAGAAUUGAACAUCGAACAAACUAGAAAUUUUGUUUAAAUGAGAGGAAGAAUUCAAUAAAUACGUUUGAAUAAAAUAAUAAUUUUAAAAUAAUUUUUUUUAAUAAAAGAAAGUUUUUUUUAUUAUAAAAAUUCAGAAAAAUGCAUUUAGAAAAAUCCAAAAGAAUUGUUUGUAAUAGAAUUUGAAAAAUUGUCCAAAAAUUGUUUUGUAAAUAAAGUUGUCCCAAAAAUUAAUUUUUAAUAAAAUUUUCCAAAAAAUGUUUUUUUUUAAAUGAAUUUUUUUCCUUAAUUAAAAUGAGAUUAAAAGUAUUCUUUUUAGAAAUAAAGGAUUAUUUUUUUUUUCUUUCUUUUUAAUUAAAAUUUCUUUUGUAAAUAAAGUUAUGUAUUUUUAAAUAAUUUCUAUAAAUCUCUUUUUUUAAAUGAAAAUGAAUCAAAAUACUUUUGUAAAUAAAAUUGUAAAAAUUCAUUAUUUCCUAGUAAAAACAAGUAAAAAUAAUCUUUGUGCUCAAAUUGAAAUUUUGUAAUAAAUUCUUUUGAUACAAGAAGUGUAAAUAACUUUUCUUGAAAAUUAAAUACAAAUGAAAUUGAAUCAAAUCACUUGAAGAAAAUAUUUUGUAAAUACGUAAAUUGAAAUCACUUAUUCAAAAUUGUUUUUAAUAAAAUCAUUUGAAAUUUUCAGAAAACUAAUUUUUUUUUCAAAUAUUUUUUUAAUUAGUUCAAUAAAUCAAUUUGCAUAAUCCUCUUGUCACUUAUUUUGUGUAUCAUUGUAAUUAGGUUUCAUCAUUAUUUUUGUGUAUAUUGAUUUUCAUCGUGAUUUGUACAUACUCAUUUGCAUGAUUAUUUUUUUUAUUAUCCAUAAUUAAUUAAUUAAUUGUCACGAUCCCUUAAUUCGUUUAGUAGAAGUCGUACGUAUACGGGCUUAGAGAGGUGCUAUGGCUCACUACCGUACCUUCCUAAUAAGUAACCUGACCCCCAUACCCAGACUCGAUUUUUCACAGACUUAUUUUUCCUUCAAGAGUCAUACUUGGAAUUUUUCUUUCUUAUUUUGUUUUUCCCUUAAAAAAAAAUGGCAAUUCCAAGUCUUUUUCUAAAAAUUAAAUUUUCACAAAAUUCGUAGAAUGCAAACCUCCCACUAUGAUGAGACAUUCGUGCACUAGAAGUAUCAAGAAAGGAAUGUGCUUAUACCUAUAGAACCAUAGUACUCUAUGCAAUAUGAGAAAGAGAUGUGUUUAUACCGUUCCAUAGUACCUUGUGUAAUAUGGGAUUAUCUUCGAAUGUCCUCCGGUCUAUAUCAUUCUUUGCUUUAUUUUUAUCAUAUAUUUUUCAUCAUAAGUUGAUGUUUGUAUCAACAAAUGCUUUCUAAUUGUCUUGACUAUAAAGGUAAUAAUCCUUAAAAUCCUCUUGAAUAUCUUAUAAACUGAUAUGCCUCUUACCUUAUUUCCAACUAGUUUACAUUUGAGUUCAACACGAGUAUUGGACACUCUUAUAUGCAAAUAUUUUUGUAAACCAAGUUUACAACGUGUCCACAUAUCUAGAAGUCAAAGUUACCAACCUAGUAAUGGAAGUAAAAUACAGUCUCCAAGGCAUAUCCCAAACAGAUAUGGGAAGUGAUGAGAAACCAAUUGUCAAUCUCAUUAUAUCUAUCAAAGUUCAAUUUCUUUUUUCCAUUACCCCAUUUGUAAUGAAGUCCUUGGUGCACACAAUUAGGAUAUAAUCACGUGUUCCUAUGGAAAGAAUUGAACCUACUAGACACACCACCUUGAUUUAAUUGAAGUGCAAUGAUAUGUUAACCCAAUAGAUCAUUUGAUUUUGCCUUAAAUACACCAAAUUUAUCUAAGGCAUCAAGUUUCAUAUAUACUAAAUACACAUAUCCAAACCUAGAGUAUUAAAAAAUAAAAGUGAUAAAGCACCCAUACCCUCCUCAUGUAUGAACUCCAAAGUUACAUACAUGUCAAUAUGUACUAACUCCAAACAUUCAUUAGCUCUAUAUCCUUUUGCAAUAAAAGUCUCUUGGUUAUUUUAUCACCUAUACAGGAUUCACAAAUUGGAAGAUCCUUUGGAACCAAAGUGUUUAUACUUAAUCAAUCUUUGGAUCCUGUUUAGAUUUAUAUGACUUAGGCAUUAGAAGUCAAAUGUUUGAUUAAUGCUAGGUUCAUUAUUAAGAUCUAACAAUUCUCAUUACUUAGCAAAGUGGUAAUGGAGUCACACAUAAAAGAGAAAGGUAAUUCCUCCCAGUAGCUUGCACAACUAACCUUGCAAUUGAAGCUAAGAUAAGUACAUCCCCAUUAUGAAACCUUCUCUAUAUCGAAUAUCUUGUAAUUAAUUACAGAUAAUGGGCCUAAAAUGAAUCCACCACUAAAUUUAUUCAACAAUGACUCUAUGAUGUGUACCUUUCUACUCUUAGGCAAUAUGCACAUUCCUUUUUCAAUAUCUCAAAGGGUUACAAAGAAAUUACUCUUCUUGACCUUAUACUCAUUCAUUUUCUUGAACUUUCCUUAUUUGAUGUUAUUCUUCUUCUCUUUGGUAGAAGAGCUUGAGAAACCUCUAACUUCCAUAUGAACACUUUUCAGUUUUUUGAAAUCCUCUUAUCCAUCCUAAUGGAAUUUGGUAAGAUCUUUAAGAUCAUAUAAACUAUGAUGUUCAAAAUAGUCCUAAGGGCAACUUGUUUAUUUAACUUGAAAAAAUAUAAAUUAAGUGGGACCCACUUAUUUUAUUUUAGUUCUAAUUUUAUUAAAAAUAAAUAUAUUUUAUAAAUAAAUAAAUAUUAUAAAAUUUUAGACCUAUUUUAUCUAAGAAGUAGAUUGUUUUUAUUAUUGUAUGUGUUAAAAAUAAAAUAAAAAUUAAAUUAAAUUAUUUUAAAAUUUAACUACAUAUAUAAUUGGAACAUAACAUAAUAAGACAAUAUUUUAUCUUAUCUCAAAUUAUAAUAACUACAAAUUUUUAUAAUUAGUUUGAAGAAAGAAAUUACUAUUUUUGUUACCAGAUGAGGCAUUCCUUCAUCCAAAUUUAGUUCAAAUGGGUUUGCAAAAUUUUUUUCAAAGAAGUGAAUGUUCACAUGGGCUUUAUUUGAUUGGAAAGAGUUGAAGCAAGUUCUUAUGUUGUUAAUUAGUUUAGCAAUUAUCAAUUGUCAUUAGAGCUAACAUUCUUUUGUUAUAGUAGGUUCUCUAUGCUUCUAGAAUCUUCCAAUUGUAUCUCCACUCAAAUAUAAUAACUUAAGAAGAUCAAAAGUCCUGAACAAUUGUUGAAAACUCAUACAUAAGAUACUAUGAAAUUGUUUCUCUAUUCAUUGUUUUUUUUAAUAUGGUAUCAAAGCCAUUUGACUUACCUCUAUGGCUUAAGUUGCAACAAUGACAAUUAGUGUCUUCUCAUCGAGCACCUCCAAUGGCAACUCCCUCAUUGACAUUCUCAUCCAUACUUUCUCCACUAUCUUUGAAACUCACAAGGAACAACUAUGGAUUUUGGCACUUACAAAUUCUUCUUAUUGUGCAAGCUCUUGAUCUUGAAGGUUAUUUGCUUAGAACAAUAGUGUGUCCCCCUUGUUUCAUCUUGAACAGAAAUGAAAACUCUUUAAUAAUCAAUCUAUAAUUUGUGACCUAGGCCAUAAUAGACCAAUUCAUCUUGAGUGGGCUUCUUUUUUUUUUUUUCUUUCUAAGCCAAUGUUUGGUCGUAUUGUUCAAUGUAAAACUGUUGUUGAAGUGUGGCAUAUUUUUUUAUCAUUUGUUCUUCAUCAACUCCAAAUCUCGAGUACAACAUCUUCAAUAUACGUUUUUGUAAGAAGCUUUUAAGGGUUCUUUGAGUAUUGCUAACUAUUUUCUACGAAUGAAGGAGAUUGUUGAUACUUUGUCUGCAAUUGGUAAGCCUAUCGCUAAUGAGCAAUUGUUGAUGUGCAUCUUUGGUGGUUUAGUCAUGAAUUUGAUGAUGUAAUUGUCAAUCUUCAAUCAAGAAAAGAUUUUGUCUUUGUUGAAGAAGCUCGGUUUCUUUUUCAAAAUUAUGAGAUGAGAAUUAAAAAACUCAACUCUAUUUCAAGAAUCAAUAAUCGACCCUUUAAUAACUUUGUUGCCAAGGCCACAAAAGAAAUAAGUACCAUUUCUCUAGAGCUCCUAACGUAGUUCUUUUGUAGUGGUCAUAUUGCAUUGAAGUGUUACCAUUGGUUCAACAUUAGCUUCAUAGAACCACCACAACAAUAGCAAUACAAAAAUUAUGCUCAAUAAGACACUCAUUCACAAGACAAUGCUCAAGCUUACUUUGUCAUGGUAGCCACAUUUUAUGAUCUUAAUUGGUAUAUGGAUACAAAAGCAACAAAUCGCAUUACUACUAAUCUCAACAAUCUAACCCUCAAGAUAGACUACAAAAGCAAAGAAACACUUGAUGUAGACAAUGGUAAUUCUCUAAAAAUACGUCGUAUUGAUUUUUUAACUAUAUCCUCUAGUUUUUCACCGCAACCAUUAUAUCUCAAGGAUAUCUUAUACAUACAUAUAAUUACAAAAAUUUUAUGUAGCAUCUCUAAAUUCAUCGAGGACAACAAUAUAGUUGUCGAAUUAUAUGAUGAUUGUUGUCUUGUGAAGGACAAGAACAUGAGGAGGAUUUUGAUGUAGGGCAAGCUUAAAGGAGGGCUUUAUCAACUUGAUGUUCUAGUUUUCUCAAGAAACUUGAAAACUUUCUCGACCUCUAGCUUCAAUUUUCCUUUAGUGUCUUUAGCACAUGUUAAAUCUAAUGAGUCUUCUACGAAGGUUAUGGACACUUGGAAUAGCAGGCUUGGUAAACCUUAUGACCAAGUGUUGAAGAAUGUACUCACGAUUUUACAUUUGUCUCUUAUAGCUAAGAAUCUUCAAUUCUGUGAAGCUAGUCAGUAGGAAAAAACAUGCUAGAUGUUUUUAGAGCUAAGGACUUUGCUUCUAGAAUCUUCUAAUUGUAUCUACUCUUAAAUAUAACUCAAGAAGAUCAAAAGCCCUAUUAAAUUGCUGGAAACUCCUAUGAAGAAACACUUUGAAAUUGUUUCUCUUAUUAAUUUUGUAUGCUUUAGAUCAAUGUCACAUGAAACUAUGGGGGCAAACCCAUCUAAAAAAAGGCCCCUCUUUCCUCAGACCCCUUCUUGUAUUUCUUUUUCUUAAUCACUAAAAGGCCUUAUUCCCUACAAAUUUUCUUGCAAACCAAACAUCAGGGGGAAACUUCAACCUUUCUUUCAUUACUUUCCCCCACCCUCCCUCAACAGAACACUUUAGCUUAAUUACAAAGCUCCGACAGUACUUCAAAGAUUGGAAAAAAUACACAAGGGAGAAACAGAAAAACUAAUCAAAAUUCCAUAGAUUUACCAAAUUCUCACUGGAUCUAGAAGAAAAAACAUACAAAGAUCGUCUCAUCUACAUACAAAACCUCUCACAUAUCCUUCAGACAUGAAACAUCCCUAGAACCCUUAUCCACAGCUGCUGCAGUCAACCUCUCAGCGACUAAGUGUGGGAAGCAACAAUCCACUUGGGUCAACCAGGAAACCCCAAUAUUCCUCCAUGAAGACUCCAACACCAGUAAAACAACAUACAGAAACACCACCACAGAGAUUGCAGUGGAGAGACAAAGCUGAUCUUCUGUCAAACUCAACAACAUCUUCACACAUAGAAAUGUUUGGGGUUGGGUUGUGAGGAGUGGAGACAGAGAUAAAAGGAAGCUAUAUGCAGAUGGGAAAGGAGUUGUUUCAAUGAAUUUGGUAUGGUGGAUGAAUCAAAGGUGUUCAAUCAGUGAGUGUCAGAGGGGGGCGCAUGAAGACUUCUGAGUGAAGUCAUGAUGAGGGUGUGGGCACCAUUCAUUGAAUAUGAGUGCAUGUUGCUGUGGGUUAUCACCCUUUAUCAUAUUCUUUUGAUGGAAUCUCGCUCUAUGUUCAUGCAUCACUGUUAUGUUCCCUACAAUACAUGCAUCUUCUUAGGGAGAUCAAAAAUUAGAAACAUUUGUCAUUAUCUUCUAGAAUGCAAUUUUACC
rnacentral:lncRNA from 1 species